GGAAAAGUAAUUAUUGAUGGCUUUGGUUUCUUUUCCCAGCUCAAUUCAUUAUUAAAAACUAAUUAAUUAAUUUUAAAAACCUUUGGAAAAUCAUCUUUUCAUCUUGUAAAAAGAUGAAUCCGUCCUGCUGUCCUCAUUUCUGUACAUCCAGACAUGACCAAGCUGAGCAGAGCACCCUGAAGCCAAGGUUUGGGGCUUGGGUAGUGUUGGAUGUGGAAAGAAAAGUCCUUCCUUGUGACUCUUUUACUAGAGGACAUGGUAGACGGUUGCCCAGCUGGGACUCUGUCCAGCAGCUUCCCUUGCUCUGCUCCUUUAAUUGUUAGCAAAUUAAGAUCCUUCAUAGGGAAGUAAAUUAACUCGGCAAAUAUUCCAGUUCCUGCCACCUGGGCAGGCACUCCGAUGGGUUCUAGGGAAACCAGGUACUAAAACAGACCUGCCUGCAUGCAGCCUAUAGUCUGGGGGGUAACAGAGACAUUAGACAAACAGUCACAUGGACAUACACAGUGAAAACUCAUCUUGACAAAGUGGUGUUUGAGCUGGGAUCUGAAGACUGCAGAGGAAUUAACUAGGUGAAGUAGGGAGGGUUGAGGAAAAAGGUUCCAGGCAAAGAGAACAGCAGGAUCCGUUUACCUGAGCCAAGAGGGGACACGGACACUCCAGGAACUGACAGAGUGCCAGACCCUGGGAGGUGAGAGGAGUUGAUCAUGCAAGGACCGGUGGCUGCAUCAUGCAAGGAUUCUGUUGUGUGUGCAGUAUAAAGCCCUUGAUAAUUGGAUGUUCGGAUUAGAUUCAUGUUUUGAAAAAGGUCACUCUAGCUGUUCCAUGGAAAAUGGAUGAUUAGAGGAGGGCAAGAUGGGAACAGCAGUUUAUGUGGGUUGGACUUGGUGGACAUGAGCAGGGAAGGAGAUCAGACUGGCUGGACGUAGUUGUGGAUGGAACACCGUGGCCAGGGAGAGGAUGUUGUUAAGGACAACUUCUAGGUUAUCAAACAAACAACACACAGGGUGGGUUUCACAAACACAGAAGACGUAGCUGGCAGGGUUUAGGAAGUGUUAUCAUCACUCAUGUGAGGUGGAAAUCAGAACUUUCAGCAUCAGGCAGACUCAGUCCAGGCUGUUGGUCUUCGCAUAGCAUCUCUAGACCUCUCUGUCAUUAAGUGGAUAUUUCAAGAAGAGCUGGGAAUGAUCAACAACAUUAUAAUGUGAUAUCUAAAUACAUAGCCAAUACCAAUAUAUGCGUGUGUGUAUGCAAAGAAAAAAUCCUGGAAGAAGAUAAACAUUGUCAUUACUGUUGUUAUUUUUGGAGGGCUGAGAUGAGAGGGAGCAUCAUUUUCAAGUCUAGAUGUUACUGUGUUGUCUGAAAAAUCUUAAAUUUAGUCUUAAUUGGUCUUCUAAUUAGCAGAACCCAUGAAAUCACCAUCGUUACCAAUACACAGCUUUUUGGCUGGGAAAUUUAAAGCCUUUUGUGGAGCCCCAAUAAUCUCCCACCUCCAUUAAAUCUCUCUCCUGGAAUCCAGAGAGCCUUUCUAUUUGGGGACCUUCUAGCUCCACAGAGCAUAGAUUUCUUUCGCCGCAGCUCAUUAGAGAUGCUCAGAAAGUCAACGUGAGGAAUAGCUACAGAAGCCCUCUCUGCACUGUUUGAUCUUUUUAGUAGCAAAUGUGUCCUUUGUAGCACGAUUGGUCCAGUUCUUCUGUGAGGCUAAAAAUAGAGCCAUUCCAAGAUGCUUUUGAGACUCCCUGAACUCCAGAAAACUACCAGUCUUUCUCCCAUUUGAUGCAUCAGUUCUGCCAUAUCCCUGGGGACAUCAUUCCCACUUGGUUGGUAAAUAAUUAGCCUGCCGCCUUUGGCUAUAGAAAGGAUUUUAAAUAUUUUAAACACUGCAAGUAAUUGAAACCAUCUCUAUUUGAUUUCAUCUAUGCCUGCAAUGCUUCGGAUGAAAAUUUAUCUAUGAAUAUGAAACAGCCUUGGGCAGAUACAUGUUGUAAGGUAUGGGAAGAAUUGUUUAGGCUGCUUCAGUCAGGGGGAAUUCAGACCUGAAUUCAAAACGUUCUCUAGUAAGCCAGCCGUUGUGAACCUUUCCAAUUUUAGUUCACGUGACUCAAUUUUUCUCACAAUGAGAGAAAUAAAUGACACCAUUUUUCAAGAAUACUUGUAUGCUUGCGGGAUUUUUUUUUUUAAUAGGCUUUAGAGGGGUUAAUAUCCAAAAUAUAUGAACUCAUACAACUCAAUAGCAAAAAAACCAAUUUGACUUAAAAAUGGGCAGAGGAUCUGAAUAGACACGGUUCUAAAGAAGACACACAGGAGUUCUCUUCGUGCCUCAGCAGUUAACGAACCUGACUAGUAUCCAUGAGGAUGCAGGUUCCAUCUCUGGCUUUGCUCAGUGAGUUAAGAAUCCAGUGUGGCCGUGAGGUGUGCUGUAGGUCACAGAUAUGGCUCGGAUCCUGAGUUGCUGUGGCUGUAGUGUAGGCUAGCAUCUGUAGCUUCAAUUUGAUCCCUAGACUGGGAACUUCCACGUGCUUUGGGUGCAGCCCUAAAAAGCAAAAAAGAAAAAAAGAAGAAGUCAUAGGAGGGCCGUCAGGUACUUGAAAAAGUGCUCAACAUCACUCAUCAUCAGGAAAAUGUGAAUCAAAACCACAGUGAGAUGUUUGUUAAAGUGGAUAUUAUCAAAAAGAUAAGUCACCUGAGUUCCCUUGUAGUGCAGCAGGUUAAGGAUCCAGCAAUUGUUGCUGCAGUGGCAGUCCCCCCCCCGCCCCCCCAAAAGACAAAUAACAAGUAUUGAUAAAGAUGUGGAGAAGAGAGAACCUUUGCACAUUGUUGGGGGAAAUGCAAAUUGGUGCAGCCAGCAUGGAAGACAGCAUGGAUGUUCUUAAACAAUUAAAAAUAGAACUACCAUUUAAUCCAGAAAUUCUACUUCCAGGAAUAAACCCUGAAGGAAGCAGGAGCAUUAACUUGAAAAGAUAUGUGCAUUCCCAUGUUCAUUGUAGCUUUAUUUACAAUAGCCAAGACAUGGAGAAGACGUUGGUGUCCACUGAUGGAUGAACGGAUGAAGAAAAUGGUAUGUGUGUAUAUAUAUAUACACACAAUGGGAAAUUAUUCAGCCACGAAAGAAAGAAAUCCAUUUGCAACAAAGUGGAUGGACCUUGAAGGCAUUAUGCUCAGUGAAGUAAGUCCGACAAAGAUAAAUACCUUAUGAGCUCAUUUAUAAGUGAAAUAUAAACAAAACAAAAACGAACAAACCCAGAGAUACAGAGAACAGAUUGGUGGUUGCCAGAGGUGCAGGUGAAGUGGGCAGUGGGUGAAGGGGGUCCAAAGAUACAACUUCAGUAGUAAGAUAAAGAAGUCGUGGGGCUGUAAUGUGCAGCAUGAUGGCUACAGUCAGUUUUACUGUACUGCAUAUUUGAAAGUUGCUAAGAGAAAAAAAUCUUAAAAGUUUUCAUCGCGAGAAAAAAAUCGUGACUGUGUAGUGAUGGCUGUUAAUUAGUCUUGUUGUGAUCAUUCUGAAAUUUAUACAUAUGUCAAAUUUAAAAAGUAGACUUAGGAGUUCCUGCUGUGACACAGUGGUAAGAAUCUGACUCCUGCCCCUCUGGUCGCUCCAGUCCCGUGGGAUCCAUUCCCAGCCCUGCUCAGUAGCUAAAGGACCCAGUGUCUUCUCUGUAGGUAGAAGAAUUGUUCCGAUUCGGUCCCUGACCUAGGACCUUCCAUAUGCCUGAGAUGCAGCCAUUAAAAAAAUAAAGUAAAAAGUGGACUUAAUUUUUGGAGCUCUUUUAGGUUCCCAUAAACCUCCCAGUCCCACACAUCCCCUAUUGUUACUGUCAUUGAGCCUGCAAUGAUUAUCACCCCAAAUCUCUGCUUUACGUUGAGGUUGUUCCCAGUAUUGUACGUGCUGUAGGUUUGGACAAAUGUAUAAAGACAUGUGUGCAUCAUUAUAGCUUACACAGAGUAUUGGCACUGACCUAAAACGUUGUGCUCCACCUGUUUGUCACCUCCCCCACACCCUAACCACCAGCAGCCACUGAUUUCCUUAGUUUUGCCUUUUGUAGAUGUCAUACAGCUGGAAAUUUAAAAUUCAUUCCUCUCAUAGUUACAAGAAUAUAGACGCUCCCAUUCAUAUCACUGGUUAUAGCCUUUACAGUAAAUUCUUUGUGGUUGCGUGAACACCCAGUGUCUUGCCUAAACCACAUCUGUAUCUAGGCAGUGGGACAGGGAAAGCCUAAUGAGAACCACUGCCUUAGGGGCAGGAGGGAUGCAGGAGGAGAAAGCUGCUGUGUCCCGUGCCCUGCAGAGUAUCUGUUCUCAGCAAUUGCAGUGUGACUUUUGAUGAGAAUAGUGGCACGUGCCUGUUGACUCAAAGUGAGAUGGUGCGGUGGUGUACGAAGUACAAGUUGUAAGUGCUUUCAUCCCCUGCGAUGACCACUGUUAUACUUACCAUAAAUGGGCUCGUCCUAUACUUAGUAUUUGAUAGCAUGCUGGCUUCAUUAAACUACCUCAUAGGGAGCUUUCAUGGCCAUUCAUAAAGAUCGGCUUCUCCCCCCCUCCUUUUUUUGGGGGGGGGAUCAAACCUGCAGCUCCACAGUGACCCAAGCCACUGCGAUCAUAUUCUUAGGCCACUGAAGUGACAACGGUGGAUCCUUAACCUGCUGCUUUACAAGAGAACUCCUAUUUAUUUAUUUAUUUAUUUGUUUUUGCUUUUUAGGGCCACACCUGAGGCAUAUGGAAGUUCCCAGGCUAUGGGGUCCAAUCAGAGCUGCAGCUGCCAGCCUACACCACAGCCACACCAGAUGCCAGCUGUGUCUGCAACCAACACCACAGGUCAUGGCAGCGCCGGAUCCUUAACCCACUGAGCAAGGCCAAGGAUUGAACCUGCAUCCUCAUGGAUUCUAGAUGGGUUCGUUAAUGCUGAGCCACAACCGAAACUCCAUCCUAUCCUUAUUUUAAAGAUGAGGAGACCAGAGCACAGAGGUGAAGUCACCUGCCCUAUGUCAAAAGGGCCAGUAAAUAUAGGAGACAGGAAUGGAGCCCAGGCAGGGGAACUUCAGAGUCCAGGCUCUUCACCAGUCCCUCUGCUGCCCGUAAAACCCACGCGUGAGGAGUGAAGAUGACAUGGGCCAGAGUCCAUGGAAGCAGUUGGAAUGGAAGAGGGAGAAGCUAUAAUUAUAGUCAUAUCUGACAAUUAUUGAGUGCUUACCACUAAGAGAAGCUAUGGUAAGUGCUAGUUAUCCAUGACCUUACUGAAUUUUCACACCUCUGCAAGACAGGCAUUCUAUUCCACAAGUAGGGAAACGGGGGCUUUGAGAUGUUGAAUCAUUUGCUAAAGUUCAGUAAGGUAUGUGAGCCUGGGUCUUUAAGACUCCAAAGCCUUUGGAAGAAUUUAGUUUCACUCUAUUAAUAUUAAAGUAAUUUUCCAAACAAACAACAACAACAAAAAACCAGGGAAUUCAAGGGGGGAAAAGCACUCUAGGAGGUAAAGAUGUCCUCACAUCCCUUUCUUAUUGAAGAACUUUGAGACAACCCAGUUUUAGUUGUGCUCCUGCGCUUUGGCUGGUCUGAAUCGGCCCUUCACAUAGGCCAUGAUCUGCUUGGACAUGAUACCUGUGAAUACCUCGAUUUAUUUAUUUUUUUUCUCGAAGGAACCUAAAUCCAAAAUACAGAAAUGUUUUCCAAACUUUUUUUUUUCAUGAAAACCGUCAUGUAUAUUAAAUUUUAUUAUCCAUUUAUAGCUUUUCAGUGAUACUCUGCGUAUAUAAUAGGCACCUUGUAUUUACUAUUUUUUUAGAUGAAUGCAAAUUAGCUUUAAUUUGUAUAACCAACCAGCCAAACCGCUGCUGGCUGUUCCCUCAAACCAGGAGCCCCACCCCACUCCGUUCCACCCCGACUCCAGGACACUGCCUGCAGAGUUAGGGAGCAACAAUGACCUAGAAGAUUUUUUUCCUUCUCUGCUUCCAGAGAGAGUCCCACAAGCCCUUGUCCAGAUGUUACUGUGGCACAUGUGGCAUGGAAUCUUGACUUUUCAAGUCUUCUUUUCUUUAGUAGAAUGACUGGGUGGAGCAAAGGAAAUUGUUAAGGGGUAUUAUGGUUUCUUUCUCGUCGAAGGAGUUGAAUCCAGCCAACAUCGUCAGCGACCAAAGUCACUGCCAUCUGUCAGUUGCGGGUGGCCCAAACUAGUGGUCUCCUUAGCUCCCAACGGACAGGUAACUUGCAUCUGAGAAACCGACACAGCACAUCUGGAACUUAUUGGCAGAGUCAAAAGAGAAUCCCCAAAUGGAAUCAGUCGCAAAGAUAGAACACUCUGCUUUUUCUUGGCGCUGGUAUCUGUUGGGUUCGGCCUUGUGGCAUCUGGGUAGAGCAAUUCAAAAAAGUUUUCCAAUGGUAUAGGCCAACUGAACAUACUUUUCUGAAGCACAACGUCCUCCCCAAAAUGGAAAGGAAAAAAAAAAAAAAAAAA
rnacentral:lncRNA from 1 species